rnacentral:lncRNA from 1 species
AGGUGAAGUAAGUUUCGGUGAGUCCAGACUUGCCUACCACAGAGGCUUUGGAUGAUGUGUUCGGUUCUCAGAUGGCAUAUUUCAGGCGAAGUGCUCAUUUGUGCUUUGAGCGCUCAUACUGGAAUGAAAGCACAUGAAUUCAAGUGGCUUGGAAGUAAUUUUGAAUUUUUUCACAUGCAACAGAAGAAAAUGAAAAGAAAUCUGAGCCAUUUGCACACUAAUUGCAUUUCAUUGUUAAGGCGAAGGUGAUAAGAUCUCAGAACAGAGGCUCAGAGGCAAAGGGAGACUUCCCUGGAGCCAGCACUAACAUGGCCAGGGACAAGCAGGAGGAGUUACUCCAUUCCACUCGACAGAGUUUACUUGAGCUGUGCAGAAGGGUCCCGCAGUGCUUGUUGACAAGACUGUCACAUUGUAAGGAAAUGAGAUAGCUAGUAUUUCAAAUUACUGAAGUUGGGAAAUGAGCUCCUUUUUGGAACCCAAAGCCAUGAGCUAAUGGAAUAUUCCAGUUGAAGUACAGAAUGCUAGCUUACAAGUCUCCCUCAUCUGGCUUUGUUAGUACCCUCCAGCAAGGCUGGAGAAAGGCAAUAAACCCCUGAGAUAACUGGAUGCCAACCCAGGAUCUUCAGGCUCAAGAGAUGUUUUAGCGGUUCUAGGGAAGACAUUAGGAGAGAAGACUGUGAUGGAAGAAAUGAAACUCUAGGUGAGUUCAGCAGCUUUCCAGAUCCACAGAACUAGCACUGAACAUGCCAUGGACUGGCCUCUAAAACACUUGGUCAUCAAGAUUCUCCAAAAUCCCCAAGUAAAAUCCUUAAUUUGUAAUGGAAGUCAAGGGGCGCCUGGCUUUCUCAGUUGGUAGAAUGCAGCUCUUGAUCUCAGAGUUGUCAGUUUGAGCCCCAUGUUGGGUGUAGCGAUUACUUAAAAAUCUUAAGAAAUAAGAGUGUAAAUGGAGGUCAGAACAUGCAGGAUUGGUUUGAGAGAAAUUUUCUCUGCAAGAAUGCAUAAAUUCCUUGAAAUAGUGUAAUGAUCUGAACACCAGCACACUUAAGCAUGCACAAAAAACAGAUGAGUGUGUGGCUUUUGGAGAUUACAUAGGCUUUCAAAGGAUAACAAACAUCUUGACUAGUCCUAGACUGAUUAGUGAUGAUAUUCAGGACCCACCCCUACUGCCAUCCCUUACUUUCUUUUCAUGUCAAUGUUUGCUAACAUUUCUAGUUUCUCCAGGACCCUACCUUAAAUCCUUAAGGCUAACUUAUUUUCCUUUCCUCCAAAGAGAGACCUGUGCGUUGCCUGGAAAUGGCAUUGAACUAGCAAAAGUAGUGGAUUCUAUACUAGUUCUUCAAUAGAGUAGCUGCAUGAGCCUUGGGCAAGUCAUUCAAACUCUUGGGAACUGUGAAAUGAAGGUCCCUCUCAACUCUGAAACUGGAUUCCUUCAAUUCCAUGGGCUCUCUAGGUCCCAUCCUGUGGAGUUCUCAUUCCUGAGACAUCCCUAUAGUGUCUACCAGAAACAGUUGGUGAGCCAAGAUCUUUGGCAGCUGUACAACUGCUCAGAGCCUGAAGCUCCUCAUCUGUAAAAUGGGGAGAGUGCUGUCUGAGCACAUUGAUAGAGGACUCAAUGGGCAUAUAUAAAUAUAGCUCAGAACAGUGCCAGAUUUACAGAAAGCACUAAAAUGUUUGCUAUAAUUAACACAUCCUC